rnacentral:rRNA from 1 species
UACGUAGGGUCCGAGCGUUGUCCGGAAUUACUGGGCGUAAAGAGCUCGUAGGUGGUUUGUCGCGUUGUCCGUGAAAACUCACAGCUCAACUGUGGGCGUGCGGGCGAUACGGGCAGACUGGAGUACUGCAGGGGAGACUGGAAUUCCUAGUGUAGCGGUGGAAUGCGCAGAUAUCAGGAGGAACACCGAUAGCGAAGGCAGCUCGCUGGGACGGUACUGACGCUGAGGCGCGAAAGCGUGGGGAGCGAACAGG